rnacentral:rRNA from 1 species
GACGAAGGUGGCAAGCGUUGUUCGGAAUCACUGGGCUUAAAGAGCACGUAGGUGGAAAGGUAAGCGUCUUGUGAAAUCCCCCGGCUUAACCGGGGAAUUGCUGGGCGAACUGUCUUUCUUGAGGCAAGCAGAGGUGCAUGGAACUCUUGGUGGAGCGGUGGAAUGCGUAGAUAUCAAGAGGAACGCCAGCGGAGAAAUCGGUGCACUGGUCUUGUUCUGACACUGAGGUGCGAAAGCGUGGGGAGCGAACGGGAUUAGAUACCCCCGUA